UCAGUAACACGUAGUCAACAUGCCCAAAGGACGUGGAUAACCUCGGNGAAACUGAGGAUAAACCGCGAUAGGCCAAGGUUUCUGGAAUGAGCCAUGGCCGAAAUCUAUAUGGCCUUUGGAUUGGACUGCGGCCGAUCAGGCUGUUGGUGAGGUAAUGGCCCACCAAACCUGUAACCGGUACGGGCUUUGAGAGAAGUAGCCCGGAGAUGGGCACUGAGACAAGGGCCCAGGCCCUAUGGGGCGCAGCAGGCGCGAAACCUCUGCAAUAGGCGAAAGCCUGACAGGGUUACUCUGAGUGAUGCCCGCUAAGGGUAUCUUUUGGCACCUCUAAAAAUGGUGCAGAAUAAGGGGUGGGCAAGUCUGGUGCCAGC
rnacentral:rRNA from 1 species